UACAUUUUGAUCAGAUACCGCAUACGCCGAUAGUCAGAAGUCAAUUUAAUUACAUGAUGAGACCAUUGAUUAAAAGAUAUUGAAGCUAAAGUAAAGUUCUCUUUAAUUUUGUUGAAAACCUGUUUAUGAUUAUUAUUAUGUAUUUAUAUUAUUUAUGUAUUUAUAUUAUUUAUUUAUUUUUAUUUUUAUUUUCCAGCUAGUUUUAUCUUUAUAGUAGCUUUUGUUAACAGUAAUAAUAACCUUGCUGUGCAUUCAUAUUUCACAGUUGAAUUAAUCAAGCAGGUGAUCCUAAUAUGCUUUAUAUAUAUUUAUAUAUUUAAAGUGGCAGACAAGUGUGUGCUUGGAAUAAACAGAUGAUAUUGUCCGCUGGUAUGGACGCUUAUAUAGUUAUCUUUAUAGCUAUUUUUCUUGGUGUGAAGAGGCCUUUAAGCUUUGUUCAGUAUGGCGCAAUUACAAACUGCUCUCAGGCUGGAAUUCUACUGAGCUGGUAAAAUGCGUGUAGUGAUGACCCCACUCAGGAUUGCUCACUUGUUUGUUGUCUGGUUACUAGUUUCUGUCUGUUGCUUGCCAAGCACAAUAUUUGAGUGAAGUAAAAUAUAUGAUCAUCCUCCAUAAUGCGUCACUAUUUUCAUCUCAUACUGUAUGUAAACACUUGCGUUACCAAGUUGUAUGUACAGUUGUAUGUAUUAUUAGGAUACAGAUGUAUACUUAUUGUUCCUAUGUCUGUGUUUGUUCAGGCAAAGCUCCAGUGGCUGUGUGAGGAGGUGCGUGAGCGGGAGUUCAGAGAGAAGAGGUUGAGGAGAACACUGCAGCAGCACAAGUGGCAGAUAAAAGCACUGAAGCAAACCAAAGACUCAAAAAUGCAGAGCCUCCUGAACCACAUUACCUUGCAGGAUUGGCUUAUCAAAGACAUCCAAUCAGAGAAGAGAGGAGUCAAAUGGUGGAGCAACGUUAUGCCAAAUAUAAGGAGAUAGUUGGUGACCUCCAGCAUCAGCUUGAGGAAUCUAAGAGGAGGAUUCAGGAAUACAGCAAUAUUUUUCCGAUCAGCUUUACUAGGAACAAACUACUGGACAUCAGAAAUAGCACACCAAAUAACUUUCUGCAGACAUUUGAGCAUUCAGAUGUUUUACUGGACAUUUUAGUCGGAGGAGCUGCAUUCCUAUACAAACGCUCCAGAUGACACAAGCGAGGGAAGUGCGCUGGUGCGCUCGUUAAAUUUCGACAACGCGGAUUUAGGACGCCGCUGCCGAGCAUUCAUCUGGCGAAUCUCCGCUCUCUAGCAAAUAAUUCACACGAACUACUACUCCUCACAUGCACAAACAAGGAUUUUUAAACUCCAUUUUCAUGGAAACCUGGCUGAAUGGAGCAAUUCCGGACAGUGCUUUACAUCUAACGGGCUUCCAGCUGUUCAGAGCAGACCGCGUCACUGAGUCAUCGGGGAAAACGAGAGGUGGUGGAUUAUGUUUUUAUAUCAAUGAAGGCUGGUGUACAGAUGUGACAGUUUUAAAGAAGAUGUGCUGCCCAAAUUUGGAAGCUUUCUUCAUUAACUGCAAGCCUUUUUAUUCACCACGGGAGUUUUCCUAAUUUAUUCUGGUGAGUGUGUACAUUCCUCCUGACAUGCAUGUGAGCUACACGCUAGAACUGUUGGUCGAUCAGAUCACACACUCAGAACAACGCUAUCUAUCUUUCAUUAUCGUUUUCGGUGAUUUUAAUGAAGCUAAUCUCACCCGUGAACUGCCUAAAUAUAGACAGAACAUCACAUGCCCCACCAGAGACAGC
ensembl:lncRNA